rnacentral:rRNA from 1 species
UACGGGGGGGGGCAAGCGUUGUUCGGAAUUACUGGGCGUAAAGGGCUCGUAGGCGGCCAACUAAGUCAGACGUGAAAUCCCUCGGCUUAACCGGGGAACUGCGUCUGAUACUGGAUGGCUUGAGCGUGGGAGAGGAAUGCGGAAUUCCAGGUGUAGCGGUGAAAUGCGUAGAUAUCUGGAGGAACACCGGUGGCGAAGGCGGCAUUCUGGACCAUUACUGACGCUGAGGAGCGAAAGCCAGGGGAGCAAACGGG